rnacentral:rRNA from 1 species
GAUGAACGCUGGCGGCGUGCCUAAUACAUGCAAGUCGAGCGAAAAGAUGAGGAGCUUGCUCCUCUGACGUUAGCGGCGGACGGGUGAGUAACACGUGGAUAACCUACCUAUAAGACUGGGAUAACUUCGGGAAACCGGAGCUAAUACCGGAUAAUAUAUUGAACCGCAUGGUUCAAUAGUGAAAGACGGUUUUGCUGUCACCUAUAGAUGGAUCCGCGCCGCAUUAGCUAGUUGGUAAGGUAACGGCUUACCAAGGCAACGAUGCGUAGCCGACCUGAGAGUGUGAUCGGCCACACUGGAACUGAGACACGGUCCAGACUCCUACGGGAGGCAGCAGUAGGGAAUCUUCCGCAAUUGGCGAAUGCCUGACGGAGCAACGCCGCGUGAGUGAUGAAGGUCUUCGGAUCUUAGAGCUCUGUUAUUAGGGAAGAACAAAUGUGUAAGUAACUAUUCACGUCUUGACGGUACCUAAUCAGAAAGCCACGGCUAACUACGUG